rfam:Chlorocebus sabaeus isolate 1994-021 chromosome 7, whole genome shotgun sequence.
GCCGGGCAUGGUGGUGCAUGCCUGUAAUCCCAGCUACUCAGGAGGCAGAGGCAGGAGAAUCGCUUGAACCCAGGAGGCCAUGGCUGCAAUAACCUGAGACUGUGUCACUCCACUCUAGCCUGGGUGACAGAGGGAGACCCUCUCUCUC